rnacentral:lncRNA from 1 species
AGACCUAAUUUAAGGGCUGAUUGCCACUGGGGAAGGAUCUGUGGUUGGAGAUCCCUCCCUUGUGGGGUUUUCCUUGUGAGCCUAGACGUUUGGAGAUGGGUGAGCACCUUUCCAUUGUGCUAGAACUUUUGUUAUUAUACCUCCUGUAUUGUUGUUCCACUGCACGGAUGUUUCUGAUUGUUACAAUACACAAGUUCAGUUACUUCAGCAUGGGGAAAGAAGAGCACAGAGUGUUACUGAGGAAAGAGGAUGAUGUGAACAGAAAGGAAACCCUUUGCAGACUUCCUUAUUCACUCUUCAGCGGAGAGAGGAAUAGGAGGCUGUGCUGUACUUUUCUGAGAAGCCUUACAUAUGAGCAGUCACAACUUUCACUUCUUCAUGCUAUUCUGACCGUGCUGAUGGCUGUUUUCAUCAUGUGCUGAAGAAACAAUUGUGAAUUCUUUGCGAUGAAUCCCAUUGUCUAAGAGAAGCUGAAAACAUAGGACAGACUUCUUGAGGCCAUCCCAAAAUCCACAUCCUACUCCAAGAGUGGCUCAAUAGAAAGCCUUCAAAGGUUGGAUGAGGAGAGCUCUUCCCUGCCAUAGGGACUGUCUCACCCACUCACCCUGCAGUGGAUUAACACUGACAUUCUUCUUGGAUGGAAUGUGAUCUUCAGAAGCUCAUGACUGCAAUACGUGGCUAUUUAUAAAUACCAGAGAGUUGAAUAGUUAUCCUGCGUUGCAAAGGAACGUUUCCUAAUUCUGCAGUGAGAUAGUGCCUUUUAUAUAAUAACAGUUGGAUGUUUUGUCUGGGUGGAUUUGGCAAUGGCUCCAAUGGUUCUAUAUGGUACCACAAAGCCCCUAAGUUUGCUACUCCACUUCUUUCUAUUCUGCUUUGAUGCUGAAUUAGAAGAAAACUGUUCAGCCUCGCACUGAGUGAAAAUAGAGUGCUGGGUGUUAAUAAAAGAAGUUUAUUCUCGUUAAUACA